AAGCAGGGCUGAAAGUUGAGCCCCCAUAGGGCUUCCCACAUGGAGCAGGCACAGGGGAGGAAGUGGCUGUCUGGAGGGCAGACUGUCAGGCAGCCUUUGCCAGUCCUGGCCCCUCUUCCCCCUCCUCAGCCCUCCAUGCAACCCCAGCCUCUCCCAGAGGGCCUGACUGUGGUUUUUCCUGUUAACUCCGCCUGUUCUUCUUCUGCGGCCUUUGAAGCUCAGCUCUUUCCUUCCAUGCUGUAACCUCAAAUCCCGGCCCCUCCGCUUCCUUCGGUGGGGGAUUGUCCUUUCUUUCCAGGUCCCUGCAUCCUUGUCCAGGAGCAGCCAUCAGUGUGGAGCUGGGGCUUGGAGAUCUUGCUCCCCGCUGCCUCUAGGGCUCAGGGGCAUGGCUGCCGACCACACAGGGGCAGGAAUGUCUGAGACGCGCUCUGCAAGAUGAGUUGGCAGCAUCUCUGUGCCUCUGGUUUUGCCAGGCUCCACCAACAUCCCGCUAAGAACUCUUCACCCUCAAGGAUUGAAUGAUUGCUGGGACCACACAAUUUACACUUGGCUCUCGUGGUCCGGAGGGGAGGACUGCGCCAGCAUGAGAAGACCAGAGAGCAAGUAAAUGGAAAUUUGGCGAGAUCCUGUGGCUGCUGUUGGUGGCUGCAGCCAGACAGGAAAACUGAGAUGGUGUGAGCAGAAAGGGCUGGAAGGAGUUGGCUUUUUCCAAGAAAUUACAGCGGAAUCUUCUUCCAAGAGGCUGGGGGCCUCUGCAGACAUGAUCUCAUUACUUACCCCCCAAAUCCCCCAGCUUCCCUACGGACCAAGGACCAGGGGUCUCUGCCCAGUCCUAGCUCCAAGGAAACUCACACUUGGCAGAUUUUCCUAAUCGGAGCUGGCCUUGAAGUUUGCUCACUGAUAAUCACCAGAAAGUCACCCCAACAAUGGGUGAUGCCAGAGUGUCCUCAAGCUUCAAGGGUCCGUAAAAACACUUGACUCCCCCAGGACAAAAAUGACUGGGGGAAACAUGCAGUU
ensembl:lncRNA LASTR lncRNA associated with SART3 regulation of splicing